CCACAAUCCCUGUCAUUAGUUUAGCUCUGCUAACUUCUAACCAGUGUAGUUGACUUCUCCACAUCCCUGUCAUUAGUUUAGUUCUGCUAACUUCUAACCAGUGUAGUUGACUUCUCCACAUCCUGUCAUUAGUUUAGUUCUGCUAACUUCUAACCAGUGUAGUUGACUUCUCCACGUCCUGUCAUUAGUUUAGCUCUGCUAACUUCUAACCAGUGUAGUUGACUUCUCCACGUCCCUGUCAUUAGUUUAGUUCUGCUACUUCUAACCAGUGUAGUUGACUUCUCCACAACCCUGUCAUUAGUUUAGCUCUGCUAACUUCUAACCAGUGUAGUUGACUUCUCCACGUCCCUGUCAUUAGUUUAGUUCUGCUAACUUCUAACCAGUGUAGUUGACUUCUCCACAUCCCUGUCAUUAGUUUAGCUCUGCUAACUUCUAACCAGUGUAGUUGACUUCUCCACGUCCUGUCAUUAGUUUAGUUCUGCUAACUUCUAACCAGUGUAGUUGACUUCUCCACGUCCCUGUCAUUAGUUUAGUUCUGCUAACUUCUAACCAGUGUAUUUGACUUCUCCACAUCCCUGUCAUUAGUUUAGUUCUGCUAACUUCUAACCAGUGUAGUUGACUUCUCCACAUCCUGUCAUUAGUUUAGCUCUGCUAACUUCUAACCAGUGUAGUUGACUUCUCCACGUCCUGUCAUUAGUUUAGUUCUGCUAACUUCUAACCAGUGUAGUUGACUUCUCCACAUUCCUGUCAUUAGUUUUAGUUCUGCUAACUUCUAACCAGUGUAGUUGACUUCUCCACAUCCCUGUCAUUAGUUUACUCUGCUAACUUCUAACCAGUGUAGUUGACUUCUCUCCAUGUCUUAUUUUGGUAACAUACAAACAUGCAACUUUUAUUUGUGAAUAAAAAUAUCUCUCCUCA